rnacentral:rRNA from 1 species
CGGCGGACGGGUGAGUAACACGUGGGUAACCUACCUAUAAGACUGGGACAACUUCGGGAAACCGGAGCUAAUACCGGAUAAGAUAUCGAACCGCAUGGUUCGAUAGUGAAAGANGGUUUUGCUAUCACUUAUAGAUGGACCCGCGCCGUAUUAGCUAGUUGGUGAGGUAACGGCUCACCAAGGCAACGAUACGUAGCCGACCUGAGAGGGUGAUCGGCCACACUGGAACUGAGACACGGUCCAGACUCCUACGGGAGGCAGCAGUC